AUUGAACGCUGGCGGCAGGCCUAACACAUGCAAGUCGAACGAGUGGCGGACGGGUGAGUAAUGUCUGGGAAACUGCCCGAUGGCGGGGGAUAACUACUGGAAACGGUAGCUAAUACCGCAUACCAUCGGAUGUGCCCAGAUGGGAUUAGCUAGUAGGGGGGGUAACGGCUCACCUAGGCGACGAUCCCUAGCUGGUCUGCGAGGAUGACCAGCCACACUGGAACUGAGACACGGCACAGACUCCAACGGGAGGCAGCGGUGGGGAAUGUUGCACAAUGGGAGAAAGCCUGAUGCAGCCCUGCCGCGUGUAUGAAAAAGGACUUCGGGUUGUAAAGGACUUUCAGUGAGGAGGCGUUACUCGCAGAAGAAGCACCGGCUAACUCCGUGCCAGCAGCCGCGGUAAUAC
rnacentral:rRNA from 1 species